AUAGCUGGGCACCAUCUAGUUGUGCCGGAGUCAGUCUGGUGGAGGCUGUGGUAGUUGUGGUCCAUUAGUCCUUUGGACUAAUCUUUCCCUCGUAUCUUUGGUUUUCCUCAUUCUAAGGGAGAGACUAAUUGGAUGCAGGAGGAUAUUCAAUAAAAGUAAGAAGAUGAGCUGAUAAAUUAAUCAAUCUAAGUCUAAUGUAUAAUAAGUAAAGGAGCCAAGUCAAGAACCCUGAUUGCAGGUUUCUUGUAUGCCUUUAUAUGAGACUUUAGCUGCUGCUUCUGAAAUGUGGUGACUGUGAGUAAAUUACCCAGAAUGGAAAGAAUUUUGGGGUCAUGGUGUAUGUGUUGUCUCUUUAUUCUAACACUAGGAGAGGGGCAUAUUGGAUCUGCCUUUUGGAUGCAACUGGGUGACUAAAUGGUUGUGUUUUCCUGGGGUUUGGUUUUCAUUAUUUUUAUAUCCUUAGGCUUCCAAGUCGGCCGGAACAGAGAUGCUCACAGAAAGUCCUAAUGAAAUGAUAUGUUUGCUUCUGAUUUCAGAUAAGAACAACCACACCCCUACAGAUCAAAACUAUGGAAACAUCCACUGCCCUGCAGCAGUUUAUAGAUCAGCAUUUCUGAGAAAUGCUUCACCCAGAAUGACCUUGGAAGCUACAUGCUGAAGAUGGCAGUCAUCUUAUUAGGUCCCUGAAUGACUGAGUAGAGCAGAGCUAUCCACCUACCAAGAACACUGGCCUCGUACCAUACUACAUUGGAUCUCCUGAUCACAUCCUACCAGAUCUUCAUUAAAAAAAAACAAAUCAAA